rnacentral:rRNA from 1 species
ACCAACGCUAGCCCUAACAAAUAUCAACUAAACAAUUUCUAAAAAUUGACCAAAACAUUUAUAAACUCGAGUAUUGGUGAAAGAAAAUCUAUUAAAGGAGCUAUAGAAGCAGUACCGUAAGGGAAAGAUGAAAGAUAAGUCAAAAGUACAAAAAAGCAAAGCUUAAACCUUUUACCUUUUGCAUAAUGAACUAACUAGAAAAUUUCUGACUAAGAGAACUGCAGCCAGACACCCCGAAACCAAACGAGCUACCUAAGAGCAAUCUUAUGGAUGCACCCCUCUAUGUGGCAAAAUAGUGGGAAGACUUUUAGGUAGAGGUGAAAAGCCUAACGAGUUUGGUGAUAGCUGGUUACCCAAUAAAGAAUUUUAGUUCAACUUUAAUUUUACCUCAUGAGAUGAUAAUCUAAAUGUAAAAUUAAAAUAUAGCCUGAAGGGGGACAGCCCUUCAGGAACGGAAACAACCUUUAAUAGAGAGUAAGGUGUUAAUAACAUAACCAUAGUUGGCUUAAGAGCAGCCAUCAAUAGAGAAAGCGUUCAAGCUCAACACUUAAAAACCCCUAAUUUCUUAAAUAAUACCAACCUCCUAUUCUUAUAAUUGGGUUAAUCUAUUGACAAAUAGAUGAGAUACUGUUAGUAUGAGUAACAAGAAUAAUAUUCUCCAUGCACAAGCCUAUAACAACCCGGAUAACCAUUGUUAGUUAACACCCAUAUAAGUGUUUAAGCCUCCUAUUAACCCACUUAAUCACUAAUGUUAGCCCAACACAGGCGUGCCUAAAGGAAAGAUUAAAAGAAGUAAAAGGAACUCGGCAAACACAAAUCCCGCCUGUUUACCAAAAACAUAACCUCUAGCAUCACAAGUAUUAGAGGCAAUGCCUGCCCAGUGACUUAGUUAAACGGCCGCGGUAUCCUGACCGUGCAAAGGUAGCAUAAUCACUUGUUCCUUAAUUAGGGACUAGAAUGAACGGCUAAACGAGGAUUUAACUGUCUCUUACCUCUAAUCAGUGAAAUUGACCUCCCCGUGAAGAGGCGGGGAUAAAAUAAUAAGACGAGAAGACCCUAUGGAGCUUUAAUCUCGCUUCUUAACUUCAACCCCUCAUAACCUAUUGGCCCAAAACAUGUAAGUAUAAGAACUAGAUUUUGGUUGGGGUGACCUCGGAGCACAAAAAAUCCUCCGAAUGAUUAUAGCCUAGGCCCACAAGCCAAAGCACUUAUAAUCUUAUUGACCCAAAGACAUUUGAUCAACGGACCAAGUUACCCUAGGGAUAACAGCGCAAUCCUGUUCGAGAGUCCAUAUCGACAAUUAGGGUUUACGACCUCGAUGUUGGAUCAGGACAUCCCAAUGGUGUAGAAGCUAUUAAAGGUUCGUUUGUUCAACGAUUAAAGUCCUACGUGAUCUGAGUUCAGACCGGAGCAAUCCAGGUCGGUUUCUAUCUAUUUACGAUUUCUCCCAGUACGAAAGGACAAGAGAAAUGGGGCCUCCUUAUCACAAGCGCCUCUAAACAAUACAUGAGCACAUCUCAAUGUAGUAAAUCCGUACCAUCUCCCUCCCCUAGAUAAGGGUU